rnacentral:rRNA from 1 species
AUUGAACGCUGGCGGCAGGCUUAACACAUGCAAGUCGAGCGGAGCGAGGGUGCUUGCACCUUAGCUUAGCGGCGGACGGGUGAGUAAUGCUUAGGAAUCUGCCUAUUAGUGGGGGACAACAUUCCGAAAGGAAUGCUAAUACCGCAUACGCCCUACGGGGGAAAGCAGGGGAUCUUCGGACCUUGCGCUAAUAGAUGGGCCUAAGUCGGAUUAGCUAGUUGGUGGGGUAAAGGCCUACCAAGGCGACGAUCUGUAGCGGGUCUGAGAGGAUGAUCCGCCACACUGGGACUGAGACACGGCCCAGACUCCGACGGGAGGCAGCAGUGGGGAAUAUUGGACAAUGGGCGGAAGCCUGAUCUAGCCAUGCCGCGUGUGUGAAGAAGGCCUUUUGGUUGUAAAGCACUUUAAGCGAGGAGGAGGCUACUUAGAUUAAUACCUAGAGAUAGUGGACGUUACUCGCAGAAUAAGCACCGGCUAACUCUGUGCCAGCCGCCGCGGUAACAC